GUCUUUUGUUGCCCCUGUCCCAGCUUUUUUAAAAUGUGUUGCAGGCAUCAAAUUCAAAAUGAGUGAUUUUUUGCAAAAAGCCAAAACAUUUAUCAG